GGUUGUUAUUAUUACUUGGGAAACCCCUCCACUGAUGUACCUCAAGAUUAGUUUUGAUGGUAGCUUCAAAGAUGGGUGAAGAGGCAUCGGUUUUGUGAUCUAUGGGUCUGAUUCCAGACUUCGAGCCCAUGGUACUUAAAGCAGAGCUUCAAGCUGCCUGGAUGGGGAUUGCAUACAAGUGGCAAACUCUGCGAGCCGACCACUUGGUCAUUGAAGAAGAUUUUGCUACGAUGACAAUUUGGAUCUAGGGAUGUGCACAAGAAGAUGCCACUCACCCCUUU
rnacentral:lncRNA from 1 species